UGGAUGUUUAAAAAAUUCCACAAAUGGUGAAGAAAAUGGCAAGGGAAGACGCCUAGUAAAUGUUUCAAGUACAAUUCAGCAAUGGUAAGUAUAUUUUUUGUAUGGUGCAAGAUUUUUUUGCUGUGUUGAAAACAAUUCGUGGCCUUCCGUUGUUUUUUGCUCUUUGUCAGACUUACUGUAUUGAAUAUAUAUGUACUUUGUAAGACAACUUGCUUUCAAUACAUUAUUUAUGCUGAAACUUUAUUACUAUAUAUUAAGGUAACUUUGCUGUUACAGUCUUUGCCAAACUGAAAUUUGAACUUUUCUACUAUACAUUCAACUAAAACAUCUUGAAAGUUCUUUCUGUCUGAAUUGCUUUUUGUCUGAGACUUGUUGGUGAGACAGAGUUUGGGAUUCACUGCUGUUACAAAUAGUAAGGAGAAUUUAUUAAAAAAGAUAUAAUGCAAUAGAGAAACAACUGAUAACUUAUAAGGGGUAUACUAUACAUGGUAUAUAUCAAUGAAUCAACAUUAGUAAAUACACAGCGAAAAAAAAAGAAACACAUACAAUUGCAAGAUGGCCCCUAUAUGGUUUUUUGAACCUCAUGGAAAAUUGACCAUCAGGUCAAAAUACAGCUAUGGCAAUUUAACCCCCUUGUAUGGAAAAUUGAACAUUGGGGUAAAAUAUAGAUUUUGGCUUACAAAAAAUGUAUAUCUCUGAAAACAAAGCAUUUAGAGCAAAUCUGACAUGGGGUAAAAUUGUUUAACCAAAUAUUAUGAAACUUACACACCCUGAUAAUAUCAACUAAAUGCAGAUCAAGUACAAAUUUGGGUAGGUCACUUUUACUGUUCUGGAGUUAUUUCCCUUAUUAUAACAUUAUACCUAUGCAAGAGGGGGCAUCAUCUGUGUCCCAUGGAGAUAAAAAAAAACAAAAUUAUGAAAAUGGACAAAUCUGACAUUUUGAUAAACCAAAUAUUUAUAGUGAAUCUAGUGUUUUAUUUAGAGAUGUCUAAAAGGAUGGAACAUGAUGAUCCGGCAUGUAUUACAGCUGAUUUCCUUAUGCUUGCAAAGUAAAACUUUGGUUGGCUUGCUUGCUUUGUUUGUAUAAUUGUUUAUACAAGCUUUGUGAAUAAGAUUGACAUCUUUAAACAAUAUAUAUAUAUAUAGGCAUAGUUAAACCUGUAUAUAUAUUAUAUUUGAAUUCAAUUGGGUGUUAUCCUAAUAUGAUUGUACAAUAUACAAACAAAGCAAGCAAGCUAACCAAAGUUUUGCUCUACAUGCAUUAGGAAAUUAGCUGUAACCCUGUAUGGAAAAACACUGUCAUUGAGAGUGAAUUGAAACUAUUUGUACCUUUACCAUGUUCAUAAUUAGUACAAAAUGACAUCUAAUAAAGAAUUAAUUCAAAACUUAAUUUUAUUUCAUUUAUGUUACAGGAGUUUCUGGAAAGCCAAGCAAAACCAAAGGAUAUUUUCAUAGAAAGGACUUCUGUAGGCAAAAAAAGUAGGUAUGUGUAUAAAUAUAUUUAUAUUUAUGUAAUAUUUGGAGAGAGAUUUAAAAAAAAUAAAUGUUUUAAUCCUUGCUCUUCCAAACACACAUUGCAGUUGUUAAAGUUUCAUGGGUUACCUAUAAAUAAAUGAAUGAAAAGUUUCAACUUAAUUCUUAUGGUUAUAACACUUUAAAAACUGCUCGAUUUUGUAAGUAAAAAGAUCAGUUGUGGUUACAUUUUGUAUUGCAAGAUUGUUUUUAUUACAAAUAUUAAUUGCUUCCAAUUUUUAGCUACAUAUAUUAAAGUUAAUAUAAAAAUAAGAAGAGUAUGUGCCAAUGAGUCCACCAGAGACCAUUGCAAAUAAAAACUGUUAUUGAUCGUGACCUCGAAGAGCUAAACGAGUGGUCACGGAGGUGGCUAAUGUCUUUUAAUCCAGACAAAACAGAAAUAAUGAUUUUUUCAAAUAAAGAUGCACCCGUUUUAAAAUUCUGCUUAAAUGAUAAAGAAAUCCCUAUAACAAAAUUUCACAAACACCUUGGGGUAACGUUUUGCUCUGAUGCUCGGUGGAACAGUCAUAUAGACAAUCUGAUUAUCAGUAGUACGAAACAUUUAAAUAUCCUGAGAAAACUCAAGUAUCAGCUUUGUAGGAAAAAUUUAGAAAAACUCUAUUUAGUAUUUAUAAGACCAAUUUUUGAAUAUGCAACUGAAGUUUGGGAUAAUUGCGGGAUAGGAUAUGUUAAUAAACUUGAAAGUUUGCAGCUAGAAGCUGCUAGAAUAGUUACUGGUUUGCCUAUAUUUACAAAAUCUGAAAUUCUGUAUGAGGAAAUUGGGUGGGAAACUUUAGCUGACAGGAGAAAAAGACGAAAAUUACAAAUGUUUUAUAGCAUUCAACAUAACCAAGCUCCGGAUUAUCUAUGCAAACUUGUUCCACCUAGUGUACAGAGCACAACUACAUAUCCCUUGAGAAAUGGCAAUGACAUCAUUGUUCCUUUUUGUAGAUUAUCUCUUACUAAAGAAUCUUUUAUACCAUCAACUAUUAACCUAUGGAAUCAUACCGAUUUGUCCCUUCGAAAAUCAGACUCUAUAGCAAAGUUUAAAAAGGUUAAAUACCCCAAAUAAAGAUGUACCAAAGCACUUUCUAUAUGGACCGAGGAAACUAAAUAUGAUUUUAACACAAUUUAGAUGCUACUCAUCUUUCUUGAACUAUGACUUGUUUAGAGUCAAUAUAAUUGCUGAUCCAUCUUGCUUUUGUGGAUGUAACAUUGAGACUGUACACCAUUUCCUUUUCGACUGCUCUUUAUAUAUACACCAGAGAGAAAUUCUGAUGAAUAAUCUAAGAUGGCUUCCUGAUGACCUUAUUUUAAAUGUUAAGUUACUUACAUCUGGUAAUCCGAAUCUCUCGUAUGAACAAAAUGUGAAUAUAUUCAAACACGUAUUCGAAUUUAUCAAAAGGUCUGAGAGAUUUCUUGUUAUGUAGAAAAUGUAUUUACGGUAAAUUCACGUCAUCAUCAUCAUCAUCAUCAUCAUCAUCAUCACCGUUUUCAAUGUUUACAUUACUUCUGUUUCAUUUGUUUUUCUCAAUUGAUAGACUCGUAAAAUAUUGUUUAUUUUGAUAUUGCAUGCUCAUAUUAAUAUUGUAUUGUAAAUUAUUGUCAUUCGGAGCGGACUUCAUAAGUAUGGCUUACUUGUGUCCAAUCCAUUUUACUUUGAGUAAUAAAAUAUGUUUAAACUAAAAAAAUUGAAGAAGAAUUUAAAAAUUAGCGAAACUCAUGCCAAAUGUAAAACCAAAAAUCAUGUGUCUAAGACUUAAAUAUCAAUCAGUAAACAUCUAAUUGAUUUAGAGUCUAGAGAAUAGACUGCCAUUAAUCAUAGGAUAAGGACAUGAUCUUGUACAAUGCCAAAAUAUAGGUAUCAACAGUUUGUAAAACUGGUCAACAUACAUAUGUGUAUAACAAUAAUGUUUAAUUUGGUUUUAAUUUACUGAUAGCAAAAUCAAUAUUUAUAUUUAUAAAAUACUUUCCAGUUUUAUUCAAAUAUGUUGUUAUAUCAAAACGAGACAAAUAUAAAAAAGUAGAUGUGGUAUUAUUGCCAAUGAGACAACUCUCCACAAGAGACCAAAAUGAGACAGAAAAGCAUGUUUAAAAGUCACUGAGGAUAUGUCAUUAUUUUUAAAACUAACAACUUACAGUAUAUGGGAAUAAAUCAAAUUAAGUUUUUAAAUGUAUGAAUGUAAUUUUUUUUUUCAGAUGAAGACAACUUCAAGAAGAGUGACAUUUAGAAGAUAGAACAUUCUAUUGAUAUUGUUAUUAUGUCAACAACAAAAAAACAUAAAAAGUUGUGUAACGUUUUGAGAUUGCUGUAUAAAAUA
rnacentral:lncRNA from 1 species